AGAGCACAGGGUGGUUUUGAUGCUAUUUGGGUCAUACACGAGGGUAAGCAAUAACCAUGAGUGAAAGAAAGGAAACUAAACAACUAUAAGUACUAUGAUUCACUUUCGAUCAUAUACAUUUCAUUCAAUCAUUACAUUUUUCUUUACAGUGCUUUUCAUCAUCUCUUUUUACAUCACAUUUGCUCAAAAUGAAACAUUACAUUCCUUUCUCUCAUUUGCCUUACACAUAAACAUCUUCAAAUACAAAAAAU
rnacentral:lncRNA from 1 species